GACGAACGCUGGCGGCGUGCCUAAUACAUGCAAGUCGAGCGAAGUUUUUUUGGUGCUUGCACCGGAAAAACUUAGCGGCGAACGGGAGAGUAACACGUAAAGAACCUGCCUCAUAGACUGGGACAACUAUUGGAAACGAUAGCUAAUACCGGAUAACAGCAUUAACUGCAUGGUUGAUGUUUAAAAGUUGGUUUUGCUAACACUAUGAGAUGGCUUUGCGGUGCAUUAGCUAGUUGGUGGGGUAAAGGCCUACCAAGGCGACGAUGCAUAGCCGACCUGAGAGGGUGAUCGGCCACACUGGGACUGAGACACGGCCCAG
rnacentral:rRNA from 1 species